AUCUAUUUUUCUGUCAUUAAAACUGCAUUUAUAUCGAUAACAAAUACAACCUGACUACCGAUCAGUGGUGACAUGACAUCGUCAAAAUAAUACGGUAGAUAUACUUUUUCUAAGUUGUAAAACGUAACAAAACAGUUAACCCCAUGUAAAACUAUGGUAUUACAGUAUGUCAGCUAGAGGAGGCCUCCAGGAGGACAGUACCAUCAGUCCGGAACUCCGAGGUGAAGAUGUCACGGACGGUCUCCAAGGCAGAGCUUUCGAGGGUGGCGCUUUACAAAAUAAUGUCCGACAUGCAGAUGGACGCAAUCUGUACACGAACAUUAAAUCACCCAGAGCUGAGGAACAUAUCUAUGACAACCCCUAAACAUCACGGCUGUCUGAAAACCAGGGCGUGGACAUGAUGGGUGAGUGAGUACAUUUCCCCUAAAUA